UACGUAGGGGGCGAGCGUUGUCCGGAGUUACUGGGCGUAAAGCGCACGCAGGCGGUCUGUAAGUUUGGAGUGACAGUUGGUGGCUUAACUGCCAAAGUGCUUCGAAAACUGACAGACUUGAGGGCUUCAGAGGGACACGGAAUUCCGGGUGGAGUGGUGAAAUGCGUAGAGAUCCGGAGGAACACCAAAGGCGAAGGCAGUGUCCUGGGGAGUAGCCUGACGCUCGAGG
rnacentral:rRNA from 1 species